rnacentral:tRNA from 1 species
AUAGGAGUAGUUAAAAUAAUAACAUUAGAUUUGCAUUCUAAAUUUGAGGCCCAAGUCUCCUUCUAUC